AACGAACGCUGGCGGCAUGCCUAACACAUGCAAGUCGAACGAGAUCUUCGGGUCUAGUGGCGCACGGGUGCGUAACGCGUGGGAAACUGCCCUUUGGUUCGGAAUAACAGUUGGAAACGACUGCUAAUACCGGAUGAUGACGAAAGUCCAAAGAUUUAUCGCCAGAGGAUGAGCCCGCGUAGGAUUAGCUAGUUGGUGUGGUAAAGGCGAACCAAGGCGACGAUCCUUAGCUGGUCUGAGAGGAUGAUCAGCCACACUGGGACUGAGACACGGCCCAGACUCCUACGGGAGGCAGCAGUGGGGAAUAUUGGACAAUGGGCGAAAGCCUGAUCCAGCAAUGCCGCGUGAGUGAUGAAGGCCUUAGGGUUGUAAAGCUCUUUUACCCGGGAUGAUAAUGACAGUACCGGGAGAAUAAGCUCCGGCUAACUCCGUGCCAGCAGCCGCCGUAA
rnacentral:rRNA from 1 species